CCAAUUAGUUUACCUGGUAGUCA
rnacentral:siRNA from 1 species